GUGAAAGAUUCCGGCAGCGGAGCCCUUCGGCGUGGUGCGUGAAAAGCGAACAAAAAUAACUUUUAAAACUCCUCGCCUAGGCAUCUUCAGGAGAAAAAAAGGAGCAGAACAGAACCAAACCUGAGCCUGCCUUCAUGAGUGCUGAAGAUGGUGAUGGUACAUCACAGCCACCCAGAACCUUUGUUCAUAUUCUUCAAAAGGAAAAAGAAAAGACUGCUGUAAAGGUUCAGAAGAACUAAGUAUAUGCCAUGAAUUCAGAACUACAAGCUAUAAAAAUGACAAAUAUAUUUAGAAAGGAGAGGUUUUACCAACAUAUAUUUAUACAAAUUUUGAGUUAUUCUAAGAAAGGCAGGAGGCAAAUAGUCCUUUCCUCCCCUCUACUUCUUUGAAUAUGCAAUUAAUUGAUCCUGUUUUUUCAGAUAACUGUAAAACUUUGGAGGGAAUGUAUAAAUCUUUGCUUUUUUUUUUUUUUUUAAUUUUUAAGUAAUAUUGUAUUCCACUAUUUUCUUUUGUUUCAUACAUUUCAUUAAACAGUUUGUUGAAGCCAGA